GGGAUCCAAAACUUCAAGGUCUGAAGCUGAAACUGAACAAUUGUGUUGGAUUUGUUUGUCCUACUUAUUAUCUAUCAAGUAUUUAAGUUUAUACUUAUGCCACAUGUACCUAGGUGCAUAUUAUCUACUGCAAAGAUGUCAUUCAAUGGUUCUUAAGUUAGAUUGUGGUAAUAGACAAGCAGUGAUGCUAUAAACAUCAAAUCAAACGACCAUUUCAGCUUCUUGAACACUAGAAGGUAUCCCAACCUCCAGUCUCAUAGUAGCCCUAUACUGUUCAGGCACUCCAGCACCAGCCUGCGCACAUAUCUCCACAACAGCAGGUGCUUGCCCGUAGAAGCUUCUCAGCUCCCUCUGCAUCGGCGGCCCAUUCACAUCAGGAACAUGCCAAACGUAUCUCGGCGGUAUCAAGUCAUCAAGCACCGCAGACUGCCAACCGUGCUGACCAUUCCUCUGCUGGUGCUUGAACGCGCCGCAGUUCUGCGCCUUGUGCCCCGUCGGACCAACGUGGACCUCGGGGCAGUACCCGCAGACUCUGACCCUGUACAUCCUCAUCAGCUUCUUGGCUCCCGCUCUCAUCUCUUCCCACGCUUGUAGAGUCUCUUCCGCUAGGGAGACUGUUUCUUCUUCGUUGGAAGGUGGAGUGAUCUCUGAGGGAGGUAGCUCGGUUAACAACGGCUCUGGAGGAAAGUGAGGCUCUGGAUCAGGCAGUUCGGUUUCAUCUGCGUCUACGAACUCGCUUUUGCCGAUGCGGAUUAUCGGUUUUCUUCUCCUUUUCGUUGGAAACUCAGGGAUCUCAACGCCUCCUUGGAUGCAGAGCUCGACUACGGCGGGGACUCGAGGGAUGGUGAAUCUCUCAUCGUGACGGAUGCGCUUGCCGAGACGGUCGUAGAGGUGGUAAGCUUCAAGAGGGACAAUGACGUCUUCGAGGACAGAGUUUGUCCAUUCAUGAUGACCUUUCCUUUGAGAAGCACUAGGACCUUUACACGACUUAAACGGAUGACCGUAAGGUCCAACGUGGAUCUCAUUACACCACCUAAGAGACAAAACAAGAACAACACAUAACCAAACAUAACAAGAAGAGGAAGAAGAAGAAGAAGAAGAGGAGUUAUUAAUUUAUUAUUACCCACAAGCGUUAACACGAACUACUUUCAUGAGGCGGUGGAGAUUGUUGAUCAGUCUGAUUCUCGCGUUGUACACUUUGUAAGCAAGAGGGACGAGAAGAGACAUGAGCCUGAUAAGAAUAGUUAUAGGAACAGAACAGAAGUGAACUUGCUAAAAGAAGAAGAAGGAGAAGACAGUUACUUACUUAAAAAGCUAAUCCAUGGCUUUAGACUGAUUUCAAACGUGACGAUGAUGAUGAGGGAUAACGCUUUGCAGUUUGAGGAAAAAAGUAAGAAGAAGAAGAAGAAGACACGAAAGUGGGUGUGAAUGUGAAAGCGAGCAGACCAGACAAGUGGUAUCUUGCCUUUACCAAAGAUAAAUAAAACUAAAGCAAUGAAGAAGAAAGGGAAUCUGGUAAAUGACGUUUUUACCCUUGAUUAUUUCAAAAAGUAGAUUUGUUCUUUUUAAAAAGUCUCAAAAGUGAUGUUUCAAACACAAGAUGAGACACCGUCACUAGUCAACUGGUUGGAACUUAAAAUAAUGUGAUUUUCAAUUAAAUAAUUAUACUAUGAAAAAAGGACAAACAUGUUCAAGGGAUCCAAAACUUCAAGGUCUGAAGCUGAAACUGAACAAUUGUGUUGGAUUUGUUUGUCCUACUUAUUAUCUAUCAAGUAUUUAAGUUUAUACUUAUGCCACAUGUACCUAGGUGCAUAUUAUCUACUGCAAAGAUGUCAUUCAAUGGUUCUUAAGUUAGAUUGUGGUAAUAGACAAGCAGUGAUGCUAUAAACAUCAAAUCAAACGACCAUUUCAGCUUCUUGAACACUAGAAGGUAUCCCAACCUCCAGUCUCAUAGUAGCCCUAUACUGUUCAGGCACUCCAGCACCAGCCUGCGCACAUAUCUCCACAACAGCAGGUGCUUGCCCGUAGAAGCUUCUCAGCUCCCUCUGCAUCGGCGGCCCAUUCACAUCAGGAACAUGCCAAACGUAUCUCGGCGGUAUCAAGUCAUCAAGCACCGCAGACUGCCAACCGUGCUGACCAUUCCUCUGCUGGUGCUUGAACG
rnacentral:lncRNA from 1 species